CUGUUUGGUGAGGCCACGGCCAACAAAUUCUUGGAGAAUUGGCCAACCACUUUUAAAGCAAAAGUAAUAAAGGAAUGCCAUGGACUUGUACCCACCACAUAACUCUUGGAUUUGAUGCACAAUGCUGAGUCAGCUGCUGAAGUUGAGAAUGCCUGGCACAGUGACAUGUCGGCCAUCUUGCUGCUGCUACAUCUGCUGCCACCAUCUGCACAAGGUAGAAAGAGGCCGGGAAAGCUUUCUGUGUAUCAAGCUGUAGAUCAGCUCAUCAGAUUUCAAAAGGUUGGAACCAGUGUGCAGCAGCAUCUAGACAACAUCACCCAAAGCAGUCAGCCCUACCUUCUCGCCCAGGGAUCCACACAGAGCACCAUUCACUCCUACUUCAUUGUGGAUGACAAGCAUGCACUUCCAUGCAAGGCAACAGGUUCAGUUGGAGCUUUUGACAAACUCUUUAAAGCCCAUUACGUCUUUGGUACGUCAUACAGUUCUUCCCUAAGCAGCUUUUUCACAUUUGUGCAAACAACUCAUCUAUAACAUCGACAUGGGGGAAUCAAAGGAGACCCCUAGAGUUGCAGAAUUGCGGGCAAGCAUGGUGCGUUAGUUGAGAUAGAGCUAUGAAGUGUUUUCUUUGCAAAAGUGACCAUGGAAGUCCAAACAUGCUUGUUAAGCACUUUAAGGUAAUUCAUGGGCUAUGUACAGGCAGGACUCUUUUUUUGAAGUGUGGACAAGAAGGAUGCUCACGUUCUUUUGGUAGUUUUUCUGGUUUAAGAAAGCAUCUUAAUAAGUGCCAUGGAAUCAGUUAAGUUGAUUCUGUAGAAUAUGAUCUUUCAUAUCCUCAAAGUAACGUCAAUACAAGUAAUGUUUCUCAUGUUGAACAGUCGACUGAAUAUUUAGAGGCUGAGUCACAGUUAUCUUCCCCAUACAUUGUAAAUAGUUCUUCAGCUGUAAUUUCUGAUCUAAAGGCAGCAGGUGUUGGUCAAAGUACACUGAAUUCUGUAGUGAUUUCAAUGGAAGAGAUUGUUCAAGAUACAUGCUAAAGAGACAGUGAUAAAGCAUGUAUUUAGUAAUGAAAGAGAAACGUAAAUGUGCAAGAAAGUUGAGGCGUGUUUUGAGGGGUUAGAGAAUCCUUUCACAAUUCUAAAUUCGGAAUACAAGCGAUCACAAUUUAUGACUGAAAAGUGGGAAAUAGUAGAACCAGUUGAAUGUGUGAUAGGUUCAAGAUUUGACACAAGAUGCAAUAAAAAGGCUGGAACAUAUGAUCAGGUAUAGUUCAAGAUAAAUUCAUGUAUAUUCCAAUUUUAUCUACACUGCAGUCAAUAUUUAAAAGUCAGUAUGUUGCAGAAAUGUUGCAAAGCUCAGCUACCAGCGACUCUAGACUAAGAGAUAUUUGUGAUGGAUCUUUUUUUUAAAGUCACCCCCUGUUCUCAACUGAGAAGCAGACAAUAACAGAUCCAGAUGUUCUAUGAUGACUUUGAGGUCGCCAACCCUCUGGGUCCUAAGCGAGGUAUUCAUAAAUUGGGUGGAGUAUAUUUUACUUUAAGAAACUUCUCUCCAAAAUGGAACUCUUUCUUGGCUAACAUACACUUGUGUGCCUUAUUUCAUACUCAAGAUGUUAAACGGUAUGGUUUUAAUUACAUUUUUGCUCCCAUUGUUCGAGACAUUAAACUGUUAGAGAGUGAUGGUAUUGAAAUUCCAUUAUUCAGUGGUUGUGUUUGUGACACUGUAGUACAGGUUACAGGUGAUAAUUUGGGUUUGCAUAGUUUGUUUGGUCUGGUGGAGUCUUUUAGUGCAAGGUAUUGUUGCAGGUUCUGUUUAGCAGAAAAGGAGGACUUUCAGACAGAAUUCUCUGAAAAUUCUUCCAAAGUAGUUUUGCACACCAAAGAUAUACACACUGCUCACUGUCAAGAAAUGGCUUGUAAUCAAUGCCUUCCAUACGUUUUUGGUGUGAAAAGGUCAUGCAUAUUAAAUUCGUUGGAGUAUUUUC